rnacentral:rRNA from 1 species
AUUGAACGCUGGCGGCAGGCCUAACACAUGCAAGUCGAACGAGGGGCGGACGGGGGAGUAAUGUCUGGGAAACUGCCUGAUGGAGGGGGAUAACUACUGGAAACGGUAGCGAAAAACGCAUACCCUAGGAUGUGCCCAGAUGGGAUGAGCUAGUGGGUGGGGUAAAGGCUCACCUAGGAGACGAUCCCUAGCUGGUCUGAGAGGAUGAACAGCCACACUGCCACUGAGACAGGGUCCAGACUCCUACGGGAGGCAGCAGUGGGGAAUACUGCACAAUGGGCGCAAGCCUGAUGCAGCCCUGCCGCGUGUAUGAAGAAGGCCUUCGGUUUGUAAAGUACUUUCAGCGGGGAGGCGUUACCAGCAGAAGAAGCCCCGGCUAACUCCGUGCCAGCAGCCGCGGUAAUUC